rnacentral:rRNA from 1 species
GUGUCAGCAGCCGCGGUAAGACGUAGGGCGCGAGCGUUGUCCGGAUUUAUUGGGCGUAAAGAGCUCGUAGGCGGUCUGUCGCGUCGGAUGUGAAAACCUGGGGCUCAACCCCGGGCCUGCAUUCGAUACGGGCAGACUAGAGUUCGGCAGGGGAGACUGGAAUUCCUGGUGUAGCGGUGAAAUGCGCAGAUAUCAGGAGGAACACCGGUGGCGAAGGCGGGUCUCUGGGCCGAAACUGACGCUGAGGAGCGAAAGCGUGGGGAGCAAACAGGAUUAGAUACCCUAGUAGUCC